rnacentral:rRNA from 1 species
UAUUUUGAAGGGCCGCAGUAUUCUGACUGUGCAAAGGUAGCAUAAUCAUUUGCCUUUUAAUUAAAGGCUGGAAUGAAUGGUUGAACGAAGUAUAAGCUGUCUCAUUUUUAUAAUUUUAAAAAUUUAGUUUUUUAGUCAAAAGGCUAAAAUAUUUUUAGAGGACGAGAAGACCCUAUAGAACUUUAUAUUUAGAAUCUUAAUAUUUAUUAGUAAAUAAUUUUUUAUUAUGAUUUUAUUUAUUUCGUUGGGGUGACGGGAAAAUUUAACUAACUUUUUUGAAUUGAAAACAUUGAUUUAUGAAUUUUUGAUCCUUUUUUAUUGAUUAUUAAAAUAAGUUACCUUAGGGAUAACAGCGUUAUUUUAUUGGAGAGUUCAUAUCGAUAAUAAAGUUUGCGACCUCGAUGUUGAAUUAAAGAAAUUCUUGAGUGCAGAAGCUUGGGGUAAUAGGUCUGUUCGACCUUUAAAUCUUUACAUGAUCUGAGUUCAAACCGA